UUGACGGGGAGCACCACAACGGGUGGAGCUUGCGGUUUAAUUGGAUUCAACGCCGGAAAUCUUACCGGGACCGACAGCAAUAUGAAGGCCAGGCUGAAGACUUUGCCGGAUUAGCUGAGAGGUGGUGCAUGGCCGUCGUCAGUUCGUACUGUGAAGCAUCCUGUUAAGUCAGGCAACGAGCGAGACCCACGCCCACAGUUGCCAGCGUACUCUCUGGAGUGACGGGUACACUGUGGGGACCGCCGCUGCUAAAGCGGAGGAAGGAAUGGGCAACGGUAGGUCAGUAUGCCCCGAAUAUCCCGGGCUACACGCGAGCUACAAUGGUUGGUACAAUGGGUAUCUACCCCGAAAGGGGACGGGAAUCUCCUAAAACCAAUCUUAGUUCGGAUUGAGGGCUGCAACUCGCCCUCAUGAAGCUGGAAUCCGUAGUAAUCGCGUUUCAACAGAACGCGGUGAAUACGUCCCUGCUCCUU
rnacentral:rRNA from 1 species